AGCAGUCGCCACGGUAACACGAGGGGUGCAAGCGUUAUUCGGAUUGAUUGGGUGUAAAGGGUGUGCAGACGGCUUAUUAAGUCACUUGUUAAAUUCUUCGGCCUAACUGAAGGUCUGCAAGUGAUACUGAUGAGCUAGAGGGUGGAAGAGGGAAGUGGAAUUCUCGGAGUAGCGGUAAAAUGCGUAGAUCUCGAGUGGAACACCAAUGGCGAAGGCAGCUUCUUGGUCCAUUCCUGACGUUCAUACACGAAAGCGUGGGGAGCAAACAGGAUUAGAUACCCGCGUAGUCCCUGUCUCUUAUAC
rnacentral:rRNA from 1 species